GCAGCUUCUGCCACAAGUUCUUCAAGGACCUCGCCUACCUGGGCGUGCACGAGAAGGUGCACACGGGGGAGACGCCCUACAAGUGCGGGGUAUGUGCCAAGGGCUUCGCGCACCCCUCCAACCUGCUGCAGCACCAGCGCGUGCACAGGGACACCUGAGCGCCGGGGCGGGGCGGCCGGGGCGGGGGUGUGCCCCAAAAACCCGGUGCGGACCCCAAAAAGCUGAUGGACCUGUGUCAGGACACCUGAGAGACAGGUGAAGGGAGCCAGGAGAGGUGUGCACCCUGAGAACCUUCAGCAGCAACACCCAACUGUGACACCUGAGCCCCAGGUGAGCAGACCCUGGACCUGCACACCUGGACAGGUGUGGUCCCCAAAACCUGCAGCACCUGAACCACGACACCUGAGCUGUGACAUCACUGGCACUGGACACGCCCCCAGGACCUGUGGGACCCCCGACACACCUAAGGCCAGAUUCCUCGAUCCUGGAUUUGUCCCCCUUUGGAUGGGACAACUCACCUGUGGGCACCUGGACUCACCUGUGGGCACCUAAGUCUCAUCUGUGGGCACUUGGGGCUCACCUGAGUCUCACCUGUGGACACCUGGGACUCACCUGUCCCACCUAGGUGGUACCUGUAGUACUGGGGGUGGGGUCUGGGCGUACCUGGGCGGGGCAUAUGCUAAUUAAAGAAUGGUUAAUUAAUGACA